CUGACGUCCGCUGGGCGUCGCCUCGCCUGACUCUCUCUGCGCAGGCGCAAGGAGGGGAGUGCCUUCUUUCCUUCCUUCCUUGCUUCCUUCCUCCUUCCUCGGACGGGGAAUGGAGCUGGAGCGGGAGGACGCGGCGAGAGAAGGGCCGAGGGGCCGCAGGGUUCCGGGCCCUGCUCCCCCGGCGGCGGCAGCAGCAAGCAAUGGCUCGGCCGGAGGGGCUGUCGAGGUGCCGCGGGGCCCACCACUCUCUGGGACGUCCUACUGGCUGGACUUCUGGCUCAUGAUCCUCUUCGACUUGGCGCUCUUCGUCUUCGUCUACCUCCUGCCCUGAAGGAGGGGGAGAGAGAGACCACAAGGGCAACCAGAUUUUUCUCCAGGAAAACCAUCAGUGUUACUCUUUGAGUAGCGCUUCUAUCCCAAACAGGAAAAAGAAAAACACAGAGAAGUUGUUAUACUUCAGGAAGUGGAAGUCUGAUUACCUGUUUUGGAACUGAUGGCACAUUUGAGACUGAUAGACAUGGAGUUUCAUUAAUGAACUUGGAGCAGAUGCCAUUCGACAUCUAUUCUUCGCCUGCGAGUGCAAGUUAUGCCUUAUGUUAAAUGUUACUGAACGGGUUAAAGGUUUUCAACUAUGUUGAAGUGCUUCAUUUCAGUAAUUGACUACAAAGCUCACUCUUUAAUAAAGAGUAAUAUAAAAUAA